UCACCGUCCGGAGCCGCUUGUUUACAAACAUCUCGCUGCUCGUGCGCGAGCGCAGCGGAUAUUCUGCGCAGAUUAAAAAGAAAGAGAGAAGAAAGAAGCGGAGGAUGGAGGUCGAUUUCUUUGGAGACAUCGGCUGCUGGUCAGAGAGGACAGAGGUGCACAAGGCGGCCUGCCAGGGCCAGGCCUCACAGCUGCAGCGGCUCAUUCGAAGCGGUGCGUCGGUCAACGUGGUGGCGCUGGACUCCAUCACGCCGCUGCACGAGGCCAGCCUCCAGGGACAGACGCUAUGUGUCCAGCUGCUGCUGGAAGCUGGGGCACAGGUGGAUGCGAGGAACGUGGACGGCAGCACGCCGCUGUGCGAUGCCUGUUCUUGUGGCAGUCUGGAGUGCGUGCGGCUCCUGCUGGAUCACGGCGCCAAGGCCAACCCGGCCCUCACCUCUCGCACGGCCUCCCCUCUCCACGAGGCCUGCAUGAGAGGAAACUCGGACUGUGCGACGCUGCUGAUCGCCGUGGGUGCGUGUCUGGAGUCGUACGACCUGUACCACGGGACCCCGCUGCACGUGGCGUGUGCUAACGAACACACUGACUGUGUCAAAGUGCUGCUCAACGCAGGUGCCAGGGUGAACGCUGCCAGGCUGCACGAGACGCCGCUGCACCGCGCUGCCAAAAGCAUGCGGGCGGAGAUGAUAGAGACCCUGGUGGAGUUCGGGGCCAACGUCUACGCCAGAGACCAGCAGGACAAGAAGCCUGUGGACUACACGGCGCCGGGCUCGCCCUCUGCGGCCUGCCUACGCUUUUAUGAGACCACUCCCAUGAGUCUGCAGCAGCUCAGCAGGCUGGCGGUGAGGAAGACGCUGGGCACCAGAGCUCUGCAGGUCACAGGUCAGCUGGACGUCCCCAAGCUCCUCAUCAGCUACCUCCUUUACCAGUGAGCGCCACCUGGAGGAUCGCAGCUCAAAGAAAAGCUGGACAUUCACAGACAGCAUUCUCUCAGAUACCAGUAGCACCGGAAAACCCCCUGCUGGAGUGAAGACACUGGUGGCGCUGAGGGGGGAAGAGCAGCGCUGUAGGUCCAGGUGGAUGUGAUAUGCAUGACUUAUGAUGAGGUCAGCGGCGGGGAGCCAUGGUAAGCCACAACACUCAUGGGAGUACUGUAAAUACUGAGUAGCAGUUAAAAUAGGAAAUCAGACGUGUGUGCACGCUCAGUCAGCCUUUCUCCAAAUAACUCAAAGUUGGAAGAAGAAAACCAUUGGACAUGCAGAGGAACACGGAUCAGUGACGCUGUCGCAGCAGCACUCGGAGGGACGUUCUCCAGAUGUCGCCUCGCUCCAUCUCACAUUCCUGCGAUCCAACACCGAGGCUGGCGACGGACACCGUUCCAUUCAGACAGGCAGUAUCUAUUCAUAGCUUUGUGUCUGAUGUCUCCAUGAAGUCUGCUUCUACUGUUGAUGCGGCCCAGAGAGACGUGUCGCGUCUUGGUAUUCAUAGAAGGAGAAGGAGCAGGAAGUCGUUGCCCUGAGUGCUUCAGCUUCACUAUUUGGCUGACAUGACCUGUUGCAGAGGUUUCAUAACUUGAAUAUGAUCCACGGAGGUUGAAUCAGGACGCCUGCGAACACGUUCUGAUAUUAGUUCAGGCGAGACCCAAACACAUCCACUAAAUCAAGUUCUGGCGUCGUGUCCGUAGCCUUUUCAGCCUGGUUAUCUUAAACAACAACACACAUUCCAUCUUUUACAGUGAACGUCAAUUUCUGCUGGAAUCUUAUUAAAACUGCAAUUUAGACCGUUUGAAGUCUUACAGACAAGCCAAUGGUGGAGAGGCUUGUCUCACUGUACGAAUACAUUCAUCAUUUAAUGCUGUGAUUAUAAGACAUGAGGCAAGGCAAAGUGCUGUGUAGUGUUUUUACAUGCUUUAUACAUAUGACUGCAAAUAUAUAUAUUUUUUCUUUUUCCUAAGAAAGAGUGUUUUUCUUCAGGGAUAUAUUCCAUAGCAGACCAUUUGGGGAAACGGGUCCCGUCCACCUCCACAAAGGUCAGACUGUGGUCCUGCUGUAGUGACACAUUAUUCUGGGACCCAGACGAUCUCUGGGGACUCAUUUAAAACUUGCUCUGCCAGAACAGUCUGGAUCUCCUCCAUUGGGAAGUGAUUUUCCAAGCAGCAGAAAACGUAUCUUUCAGCUUAUCUGAAAGUGGGCGGAGUUUAUACCGUGAGAGAAGCAGCUUUUGUUAACAACCACGAUGGCUGACGCUGACGAAUGAGUGUUUGACUCAUAACCCUAACCCCUCCCACAAAACGGCAACACUCGCAGUCGUGAACAACUAUGCAAUAAAAUGAGAUGUGUACAAAUAUUUAAAAAAGCAUGUGCAAAGACACGUCACGGUCCGUGACGAGACACAAACGAGAUGAAUGAUUUCAUAUUUAAUGCGAAGCAAUAGGCCGUUGAUUGGCUUUUCACAAAUAUGUCAAAGAAUAUUAAUAUGGCAUCUUUGAUGUAAGUGCUCUCAGCGCUGAGCUGCAGCUCAGCUCCGCUGCUAACAGCCGUGGAAUCAUGGCGUUACUGGUUGUGAACUCGCGUCCUGCAGAUCCACUUAAUGCUGCAACUGGACGAAAAGUCUUACAAAAGUCUGGGGCGAGAGCUCGUGAGCAGCGUCUUCAACUUGAGGCCACUGGGGCAAAAACAUUGUUGCACAAGCCGAUCCAAUUUUUCAUAAGCGUUUGGUAAUAAGACAAAGUGACUGUCAUGUGGUAAACGGGGCGAAAUAUGUCGAAGCAAAUUACCAACAGCAGAAGUGAGCGAUGAGCACAGAAAGCUGGACUCAACUCGACAUCUUUGCAGCGUACAAGUCCAACGUCCACGUGCACUUUACUGACUUCAGACUUUGUGUGACCACACACUCAAACCUCCUGUCAGCUCUCGUGUCCUGCAGCUGCGUGUUUACCGACGGAUCCCAACAAAGCCUUCGAAAGCAUCAUUCCAUGGCUGCAGGUCGGCAUCCAGACCUGCUGCAGGACGCUGGCGGGAACAUGCGGCUCGUCCCAGCAGCCCAUAAACAUGCCAAGAUGUGGAAGUUCGUUUGAUCAGAACAUAAAUCCCUAUAAACAACCCAUCCGUCAUUUCAUGAAACCCGCACUAUUAAUUCGUCGGUUAAAAAAACAAAAGACAUUUGCCGACUGUUCAGCUCUCCUCCUUCCUUUUAAGAGCAUUGUAAGAUGUUUGACCCCGAUACGGAUGGGACUUGUACUUAACGGCUUAAAAUAACCACUGCAGAACAUGCUGGCUCUCUAAACGCUGGUCUGCAGAAGGGACUGGAACCGGCCUGCAGGCCACGUCCACUCAUCUGGGAUGGAAAAUGUCUCCUGCUCCUCAACAGGAAUGUUGAAGUUCAGGGGAAGUGGCCGGUUUGAUCCGCUCUGAUGUACGGAGCGCUCGCAUUAAUGUGUUGACGAUGCCGUGGGGAAACAAAGCUGUUGAAUCAUCCCACAGAAUGUGUCACAAAUGUUUUAAAACUGUACAGAAUGUUGAUUUAUUGAAUAAAUUGCACUGUGACUCUACGUUUUCGCAGGAAUCGG